UUUCAUUUCAUGGCCUCCCCAUCGUCCCCCUCCAAAGAAGCAACAGGAGAAAGACACUUCACCAAUCGCCACACACGGCCUUCGCCUCCGAAACGACGCCACUAGAACGUGAAUUCUGAAAGGAGGCUAAAAAAUGGUAUUGCUCCACAACCAAAAUCCGUCUCGGAAGAGGCCCUCCUCCUCUUUUGUCCCUCCUUUUCCUCCGGCCAAAAUCCCCAAAUCUCGAAACGACGGCGUUGCGGUUGAUGCAGUUGAAAAGAUGGUUUCAAUCUUAGCUGAGGGUGGUUGUACUUUGAUAAACCCCUUGGGCGCACCCUCCCUUCCCGCCGAUCCCUACAAGCUCCGCCGCUACCUCUCCGGCCGUUUUUCUUCUUCUUCUGAGGAUCGCUCCCUUUUCCUCUCUGGUUUCGCUUCUUAUAUUCAAUCUCCCUCCAAUCUUCGCAGGGUUCUUGUUUCAUCGGAUGGAAGUAGUUUUGCUCCCACCAGAAGUGAGAGUCUAGUCCGACAUCUUUUGCUGGUUGCACCAAUCCAACUAGACCUUCAGAUUAUGCUUCUUGAGAAACUUCCAGAAUAUUUUGACAUUGUUUCUGGUGAUUCACAAACAUUAUUGUCCCUUGAAGAUGAUGUUGCUAGGCUUAUCAUCAAUCAUCUUCGGUGGCUUGAUUUUGUUGUUGAUCCUAGUUCCUUUACCGAUAAGUUAAUGCAAGUCCUUUCCAUUUGCCCUUUACACUUGAAAAAGGAGAUAAUUGGAUCAUUGCCGGAGAUUGUUGGUGAUCAAAAUAACAAGACUGUGAUUGAUUCCCUUGAACAAAUGCUUCAUGAGGAUCCAUCCAUAAUUGUUCCUGUGCUUGACUCGUUUUCAAACUUCAAUUUGGAUGAUCAGUUGCAAGAGCAGGUCAUAACCAUUGCACUAUCAUGCAUUAGAACAAUUGAUGCAGAGCAAAUGCCGUGGCUGCUUCGAUUUUUACUGCUCUCUGCCACACAAGUAAAUGUUCGCAGAAUAAUCUCACAAAUACGUGAGCAUUUAAAGUUUCUCAGGGUGCCAAAUGCUCACACAUUGCAAAAAAAUAAACUCAAAGGGAAGUUGCUUGUUGACAACACAGAGGCAUCUAUUCUAGAUGCCUUGAGAUCUAGUCUUCAAUUUAAGAGUAUACUCUGUCAGGAGAUUUUGAAGGAAUUGAAUGGCCUUGAGAAACCUCGAGAUCACAAAAUCAUAGACAUAUGGUUGCUUGUGCUAUUGUACACAAAUGGUGAGUCCAUGCGAAAAAGCGUUGAGAAGGUAUUUAAGAAGAAAGUCAUAGAAGGUUGCAUUCAGGAAGUUAUGCUUGAUCAGUGCAUUUAUGGGAACAAGGAACUGGCAAAGGAAUAUUUCCUGUCCUUGCUUUCUUUAUCUGAGUACCUAUUGGCAUGCAAAGAACAAAAGGCAAGGGAUUUUGGCAUUUACAUGUAUACUCUUCUUUUUGAAGAGUUUGCUGAUACUUAUUCAAGACAGGAAGUUCUUGGUGCACUAGUCACUCAUGUGGGCUCUGGUGUCAAGUCUGAAGUAAGUUCUGCUCUGCAGAUUAUGGCUUCACUGGCCACAAACCAUGCACAGGAAUUAAUUCCACUUUCUUCUCAUAUAAAUGGAAUCUUGGACUACUUGGAGGGACUGACUGUUGAAAAUCUUCAUAAGGUUUACGAGGCCUUCAGCCAUAUGGCACUGCUAGCUCGCUCUAGUUCUGACUGUUUUGGCUCUUCCAUUGCAAAUGAACUCUUGAUAAUUGUUCGAAAGCAGCAUCACCCUGCAAUUGGGCAGGUCAGCCAUCCAGAUCUGAAGUACAAAAAGAUGGGCCUCAUUGGAAUCUUGAAAAUUGUUUCAUGUCUUGGGGAUGCAAGUAAUGUCACAUUAUCAUCACCUUUUCAGGUGGGACCUGUUAUCAUUAAAUCAAAUACUGAGGAGGCUUUGGAGCUCCUUGAAACAUCCCUGGAAUCUUGCAAACAGUUGUGCUUAUCAGUGAUCUUCUUUUACGAUGAACUGACUGCAAUUUUGGAAAGUAGAACUCUUCACCCUGUCAUCAUGGACUGGAUUGGCAAGCAUGUAGGAGAAUUUGAAUCUAUUUUUCUGUCUGAUCUUGAUGGUGGGCAAUUGCCUAGCAGGAAUUCAUAUUGUGGUUUAGAAGGGGAGCUAUGGAUGAACUUGGAUGGUGAAAUAUCUCCUAUUUGUCUGAACAUUCUGCCAUUAGCUUCUUCUUCGCAGUCUGCUUGUUUGCAAUUUCUUCCUGCUAACUUUCAUUUACUAUCAGCCGUUGAAAGGUUGACAAAUCAAGGAUCUCUUGGUGGAAUUGAUGCAUUACUGGGCUGUCCUUUGCUCCUUCCCUCGUCUAAGUACUACUCAGAAGCUGAAUGGCUGUCUCUGACAGGAAAGCAGAAACAGAUUAUUUCUCUCUCUCUUUAUUAUGCAGUAAACUGGCUACGGGAACUGCUUAAUGCCUUCUGCACACAAGUAGCUGGAAGAUUUGAAUUUACAAGUCAGUCGACAAAAGAGGACAUAACGUUGAAGCUGUUAAAGCGAUUGAGGAACCUAGUAUUUCUGGAAAGCUUGUUAAAUCAUUCCAUCAGAAUGUGUCCUGUAGGACUACCUCAGCUCCAUCUUCAAAUAGAGCAUUGUGGAUUGACGCUCAUAAACCAACCAAACCAUGUGGGGAAUAUGGAAAAGAAGAAUGAGCCUAAGAUGACACAUGAACGCUCAUCCACAAACGAGAGGAAGCAUAAAAAGAUUGCCAAGACCUCAACGACAGGUACAGAUGGAAAACUCCGCCAGCCAACAUUGAUGGACGUGUUGAGGAAAGCAGGAGUAGAGACAAGCCAAGAGAUGACAAAUGAAGUUUCUUCAAAGGAGAGGACCUCAGCAUCAGUAGAUCGGCAAUCCCAUGUCUUUAAUGAAUCUGUGCUUAUAGAAGUUUCUCCAGUUGCACAAGGUCUAGAAUCACAGAAAUUUAGGUUCAGGCCUCUUUUAUUGGAAUGCUUCUCCAUUUUGACCUUUUCAAAGAACCAUGACUCCUGCUGCUCUGACCCUGUGGCUGAGUUACCCCUAUACCUGUACCUCAUUCAUGAUCUUCACUGCAAGUUGGAUUCCUUUGCUGCUCGGGGCAAACACUGCUCCUCAAGAAGCUUGAGUUCUGCUGCUUUUACCAGGAUGACAUUGGAUGAAUUUCUUAGCAAAAUUAGACCACUCUUUCCAAGUCUUAAGAGAAAUUUAGAUAUUGCAUUCUGUAGUCUUAAAGAAGGUAAUGAAACUUGUCAAGAACACUGGAACAUUCAAUCUGCUGCUGCUCACAGCCCAGAUAUAAUCAACCUUGUCCCAUCAAAAUCUUCAAUUUCUACUAUGGUGUAUAAGGAAGUACUUCAUAGUUUCAGUAAGAUGCUAAACCUACCUGAAGUACAAAGGAAUAAAUCAGUUCUUUCAGAUCUCCUUAAAGCCUUUCAGCCCAAUGAAACAUUUGAUGCUGGUGCCUCAGAUGUACAGCCUUGUCCUUCACCUGGUACAAUCGAAUAUUCAUAUCUUGGGGCUUGUUCAUUUGUGGAAAGUAUCCUCCAUGCAGCAUGUUCUUUCUCCUUUAUUCUGGCAUCAGAGGCUCUUUUCACUCUGGAAUCAGCUGUUACAUCAGUUUCAAAUGUCAUUGAUAAGUUGGAGGGAGAUGAUGUAAACAUACAGUCAAGGUUUAGCCAUAUCCUUCCUUUCUUGCGUGGCAGACUUGGAUCGUCUGCUCGGAAACUUUUAAAGCAUAAGUGGGAUGACGAAAAUCUUGAGAAUGGCUGGAAGAACAAAGGAGAAAUAGUACAAAAGAUACUGCAGAUCCACUUGGAAUAUACGGAAUCAACUGCUGAUUUGCUAGUUGAUCUUGCGUGCACAAUUUUGCCACAGGUUUCUUGUACAACAACGGCAGAAGAUGAGGAUUAUGGUUACCCAACUCUAUGUUCUGCAACAUUUCUCUCCUGGUACCAUGUACUGUUUGAAGUGAACCUCACAGUUCUUGACCAAUUGGUUAAGGAAGUUGUUCACUUGGAGAAGUGCCGACCUGGUUUUCAACCUGAAAAUGUUCACACACAUUUGAUCAAGAUGCAAAAGAACGUGAAUGUGGUUGUUGCACUAGUUAACAUGUGCAGAACCUAUGACAAGGUCACCCUGCAUGCCAUGGCUGUCAAGUAUGGUGGGAAAUUCAUCGAUUCCUUCCUUAAAGCUUUUGACUUCUUGCAGGUUCACUUCCAAAUGCAUAAUGAAGUCAUAAUUCUACUGGUGAAAGAACUUCAAAAGGCUACAAGAACAAUUCAGACCCUAUGUUCUGAAGCAAAGGGCUUGAAGCAAACAGCCAUCACUGGCAAAAUACCUGCUACCAAAAGAUCUUUGGAACGCUUUUUGUUUCGUGUCAAGGCUCUUCUCCAUACAACAUCUAGUGGAUGCACUUUCUGGAUGGGUAAUCUAAAACACAAGGAUCUCAGAGGUCAGGUGGUCAGUUCCCAGGCAUAUGUAGAUGAUCGAAAUGACAGCAUUGAUCAAGAUCCUGAGGAUGUGGAUCCACCAGUCGUUGCCACUGCUAGUGGAAACAGUGAAACAGACUGAAGAGAGACUGAGACUAUGGAUCAAGCAGUGCAGGUCCUUUUUAAGCUGUAUGACAUGUGAAGAUACACAUUUGUGAAUUAGUUGUUUGUGUGAUAUCUACGACAAACGAAAAUUGUACAAAAAGGGAAAUAGGGAAGCAGAGAGAGAGGAGACGUAAGAUGAAGGAACAAUUCUUGAUGCAUGGUGUAUUUCAUUACCUAUUCAAUAUUUCAUUUAUUGAAGUUGAAGGUUUUACACACAUAUCCACGUAGUAUGGGUGGAAUUACUUUAGAUGACGUUAGUGGACAGGUAACAGCAAGCUCUUAGAUCCUGCAAACCCAAAAAUUAAGAUUAAAAAUGCCAAUUGCCUUCUCGUUUUAAUUUGUUCCUAAGCUUUAUUAAGUGUGAGACUAAGCUCUUCAUUGGACCAGGCAACUCUCUUCUGGCAGAAGUAAAUAUUCUAUGCAUGCUCUCAA